UAGGGAAUUUUCGUCAAUGGGCACAAGCCUGAACGAGCGAUGCCGCGUGAGUGAAGAAGGCCUUCGGGUCGUAAAGCUCUGUUGCGGGGGAAAAAAGGCAGCAUCAGGAAAUGGGUGCUGACUGAUGGUGCCCCGCCAGAAAGUCACGGCUAACUACGUGCC
rnacentral:rRNA from 1 species